GUCCUGAAUGGCUCAGUCAGUAAGAACAUGGUGCUGAUAAUGCCAAGAUUGCAGGUUCAAUCCUUGUAUGGGACA